GAUGAACGCUGGCGGCGUGCCUAAUACAUGCAAGUCGAGCGAACGGACGAGAAGCUUGCUUCUCUGAUGUUAGCGGCGGACGGGUGAGUAACACGUGGAUAACCUACCUAUAAGACUGGGAUAACUUCGGGAAACCGGAGCUAAUACCGGAUGAUAUUUUGAACCGCAUGGUUCAAAAGUGAAAGACGGUCUUGCUGUCACUUAUAGAUGGAUCCGCGCUGCAUUAGCUAGUUGGUAAGGUAACGGCUUACCAAGGCAACGAUGCAUAGCCGACCUGAGAGGGUGAUCGGCCACACUGGAACUGAGACACGGUCCAGACUCCUACGUGAGGCAGCAGUAGGGAAUCUUCCGCAAUGGGCGAAAGCCUGACGGAGCAACGCCGCGUGAGUGAUGAAGGUCUUCGGAUCGUAAAACUCUGUUAUUAGGGAAGAACAUAUGUGUAAGUAACUGUGCACAUCUUGACGGUACCUAAUCAGAAAGCCACGGCUAACUACGUG
rnacentral:rRNA from 1 species